UAAGCAUAUCAAUAAGCGGAGGAAAAGAAACCAACGGGGAUUGCCUCAGUAACGGCGAGUGAAGCGGCAACAGCUCAAAUUUGAAAUCUGGCUCUUUCAGGGUCCGAGUUGUAAUUUGUAGAAGAUGCUUCGGGUGUGGCUCCGGUCUAAGUUCCUUGGAACAGGACGUCAUAGAGGGUGAGAAUCCCGUAUGUGACUGGCUGCCUUCGCCUAUGUGAAGCUCUUUCGACGAGUCGAGUUGUUUGGGAAUGCAGCUCAAAAUGGGUGGUAAAUUUCAUCUAAAGCUAAAUAUUGGCCAGAGACCGAUAGCGCACAAGUAGAGUGAUCGAAAGAUGAAAAGCACUUUGGAAAGAGAGUUAAACAGUACGUGAAAUUGUUGAAAGGGAAGCGCUUGCAACCAGACUUGCACUUGGUCGAUCAUCCGAGGUUUUCCCCGGUGCACUCGACCUUGUUCAGGCCAGCAUCGGUUCAGGUGGUGGGAUAAAGGCCUUGGGAAUGUAGCUUCUUUCGGGGAGUGUUAUAGCCCUCGGUGCAAUGCCGCCUACCUGGACCGAGGACCGCGCUUCGGCUAGGAUGCUGGCGUAAUGGUUGUAAGCGACCCGUCUUGAAACACGGACCAAGGAGUCUAACAUCUAUGCGAGUGUUUGGGUGUCAAACCCAUACGCGUAAUGAAAGUGAACGGAGGUGAGAACCCUUAAGGGUGCAUCAUCGACCGAUCCUGAUGUCUUCGGAUGGAUUUGAGUAAGAGCAUAGCUGUUGGGACCCGAAAGAUGGUGAACUAUGCCUGAAUAGGGUGAAGCCAGAGGAAACUCUGGUGGAGGCUCGCAGCGGUUCUGACGUGCAAAUCGAUCGUCAAAUUUGGGUAUAGGGGGCGAAAGACUAUUCGAACCAUCUAGUAGCUGGUUCCUGCC
rnacentral:rRNA from 1 species